rnacentral:rRNA from 1 species
AACGUAGGUUCCGAGCGUUAUCCGGAUUUACUGGGCGUAAAGCGCGUUCAGGCGGUUUGGCAAGUCGGGCAUGAAAUCUCUCGGCUCAACCGGGAGAGGUUGUCCGAUACUGCUGGACUUGAGGGCAGUAGAGGGUGGUGGAAUUCCGGGUGUAGUGGUGAAAUGCGUAGAUAUCCGGAGGAACACCAGUGGCGAAGGCGGCAUCCUGGACCGGCAUUGACGCUGAGGAGCGAAAGCCAGGGGAGCAAAGCGGG